rnacentral:rRNA from 1 species
UGUACCUACGGGGGGCAGCAGUGGGGGAUAUUGCACAAUGGGCGAAAGCCUGAUGCAGCGACGCCGCGUGAGGGAAGACGGUCUUCGGAUUGUAAACCUCUGUCUUUGGGGAAGAAGAUGACGGUACCCAAAGAGGAAGCUCCGGCUAACUACGUGCCAGCAGCCGCGGUAAUACGUAGGUGGCAAGCGUUGUCCGGAAUUACUGGGUGUAAAGGGAGCGCAGGCGGGAAGCCAAGUCAGCUGUGAAAACUACGGGCUUAACUUGUAGACUGCAGUUGAAACUGGUUUUCUUGAGUGAAGUAGAG